rnacentral:tRNA from 1 species
AAGGCUCUAGCUUAAUUAAAGUGUCUGAGUUGCAUUCAGUUGAUGUAGGUUAAGGACCUACGGGCCUUA